CAAAAUAAUAACAAUAAUAAAAAUAAAGAAUAUUAAUAGUUAACAUUUAAACUGAUAUUAUGAAAUAAGAUUAUGCACCGAAUAAUAAUUGAUCCUGCAUUUCAAGAGGUUAUCAUGAAUACAACCUCAGAGAUCCAGAACCCCAGCGCACGCUCCCAUUAUGACGUAAUCCUGUGAAAGAGCACGCGCUCUUCUCAACAAUGUCGACCACCAAAACACAGCAGACGCGCCGCGCGCCUCCGUCCAUCAGAGCCCGAGCGGAACCGAGCAAAUGAAAGCGAAAUCUCAACGCGGUGCGGCUCACCAUAUGCCUUCAAUGCAUGUAAAAGAGGCGUGUCGGUACAGAAAGGACGCAACAGCCAUCCGAAAGAUGUUGUAUUUGCUUAGCAACAGAGGAAAAGAUGAGAUGUGCAAUUGUCAGCUGAUUGCAUGAUGUAUAUCGACGGGCUGCAUGGUCGAUAUCUGACAAAAGUGCUUUGAGAUACGCAUGAAAGGUUCUAGUGUGUGUGUUUCAUGUGAAUGUUUACACCUCUGUACACUAGACUGUUAUACAUCAUUUGUGUGGAUCUCUGUAUGCAAACACACACAUACAAGCAAAACUGAAACAGAAACAAAGAGAUGAGGUCUCGUAUUAUGUGGCCUGUUGUGCACGAGUCUGUCAAUCAUUAAAGCUUUUAAAUGCUUAUCUAAUUACUUUAGAGCCUUUUUAUUUCACCCUGUGCAAUUACUAGCAGAGCAUAACAAUCUUAUCAAACGUAACAAAUGUUAUUACAAGUAAUAAUGCUAUUUAUUGUUUGUAAUGUGCUUACAGACAGCAGGACAGCUCUGAAUAUGUUUCUAAAAUCAUAACAGACAGCACAAUCUGUGUUAGGUGUAAUGCUACAUUUUGCAUGUCAGUGUUUAUUUAAAUAGUUAGGUAAACGAUAAUGUUCAACAUUGAAAAAAAAAAUAUAUAUAAUAAUAAUAAAAAAUCAGAUCAUCAGGACCAUUAUGUGUAACUGAGGGUUUUGCAUCACCCUGAAAGGGUUUAUUUUGUGAUAAUGUCUGCCUGACUUUACAUUAUCUCACUGAUUCACCAAAUAAAUAAAUACACAGACAUGAAAUAAUGAUCUGUAGAGUAUGGAAACCUGUUUGUAAUUGCUAACUUUUUUAUUUUCACAAUUCUGUAGUUUAUAUCUACGAAAACAAAAAAAAAAAAAAAAAAACAACAUACUGUC
rnacentral:lncRNA from 1 species